GACGAACGCUGGCGGCGUGCCUAAUACAUGCAAGUCGAGCGAAGUUUUUCUGGUGCUUGCACUAGAAAAACUUAGCGGCGAACGGGUGAGUAACACGUAAAGAACCUGCCUCAUAGACUGGGACAACUAUUGGAAACGAUAGCUAAUACCGGAUAACAGUAUUUCUCGCAUGAGAGAUAUUUAAAAGUUGGUUAUGCUAACACCAUGAGAUGGCUUUGCGGUGCAUUAGCUAGUUGGUGGGGUAAAGGCCCACCAAGGCGACGAUGCACAGCCGACCUGAGAGGGUGAUCGGCCACACUGGGACUGAGACACGGCCCAGACUCCUACGGGAGGCAGCAGUAGGGAAUCUUCCGCAAUGGGCGAAAGCCUGACGGAGCAACGCCGCGUGAGUGAAGAAAGGAUUUCGGUUCGUAAAAGCUCUGUUGUUAAGGGAAGAAAUGGAUAUGUAGUAAACUAUACCAUUAAAGGAGGACGG
rnacentral:rRNA from 1 species